GAAGGCUCAAGUGGAUAUUGUCUCCUCAACCAGAGCUCAGCCAGGUUCAGUGUUUUGUCUCAUUCUUGAGUAUGUGUGUGAUCACUCAAAGAAGUCUUCAAAGGGACUCUUGAAAGUUUUCCUGCCUCCAAAUGAAAAAGAAAAUAUUUCCUGCCUUGCCAGAAAAUGGUGAAUAAUCCAGCCCUUACUUUGAGAAGCACCUAGCAACGCUGGAGCCGUGUUUCUUUGCAGAAAGAGUUAGAUGUAUCAGAUGGCUACCCCACACUCUGGGUGUGCUAAUGAUCUACUGCUAGCACUUAAGGUAAUGAAUGGAACAAAUCCUUGUCCAGUCCAGAACAGGGAAAGGACACCCAGGCCUUGGCUGCAUCUAUAGCAAUCAGCUAUGGAUGAACAAACCAUUUCCUAUACGAAAAUCCAGUAUAAGUAUUGGGAGUUCUGAUCAUCUCUCACUUCUGAGCCUUGUCACCUCUCAUCUCCCCGAAGCUGCCUGCUGUCGUCUGUGUAAACUCCCCUCUACACAGUGCAUGGCAGCUCAGUAGCAUCCUUCUUGCUCCCUCCAAGACCAUAAGGUAAAUAUACCCACCAUGCCCAAAUCAGGAAUCAGACCCUCUAACCCUGAAAUACAUAUGGGCUUUGUCCUCACUUCUGCUGAUUUCAAAUGCCACUGAUUCUCUAAGUGUCUUUCUAACUGGCCCCAUGACAUCCCACACCCCAUCAGCCUCCUCCUGCCCUGGGCAACCCUCUGUCUCCCCACUGUUCACCGACACAUAUUUAUUUGCUUAUCUAUUUUCCUCUACAUAUUACCCUCGAGGCAGGAACGAAAGGUGGAGAGUGAGGUCAGAGGCCUGAUACAGAGGCUAUAAAAUUAACAUACACAUAUGAGAAAAGCUGUCCGUCCGACAAAAGAAACUGGAAGUCUUCAGGCUGAGGCUGACUGAAGAUGAGUCAUGGCUGGAACCACUGGCUCAGCAGCAAAGGAACCCUCAGCCUGUCUGAAGCUGGCCUGUGACUCACUGUAAGCUACAUGUAAUGCUGGGGUGGGGAGAGGGGG
rnacentral:lncRNA from 1 species